AUCAUACCUGCAAAAAGUCAAAUCUAAGAAUGAAGCUUCAAUUGGUACACACAUUAUCAAUACAGAUAGAUCAGUUUGUUUCUACACAAUUCAAGAAGAGAUCCUUGCCUUUCCCAACUGCAUUUUAGGCUUAACUACGAAGUUCACUUACCUGAAGACUUCUUUCUAAUCGCUAGUUGAUCCUAAGUAAUUGUUGUUGUUUACUGGGUUCCGCAGGACCUACUCAUAAGAAUUGGGAAAUUGUUGCAAUUCUUCGAAUUCUCCUGUCGAGAGUCACAUUUAAAGCACUAGUAUUUUUUUUCUGUCAGGAGGAAAUUUUCGCUCCUUCCACUCUUAAAAGGUUCAAAAAAGAGAUUCAAUCCAACCUUUGAGGACAGAGGUUGUCAGUUACUGCAGAGAGAGUGAUGAUCUUCAUUCUAGUCUCCAAAAGCUUAUCUUCAGGAUAGUCAGCAAAUGGCUCUUCCAAGAACAUUGAAAGUCUUUCAACAUUUAUUUCAAGUUGCUGCUGCAGGUUCUCAAAAAGGAACAGGAGAGGACCCGUCUUGAUUGAAGGAGUCUAUUAAAUCCAUUUUCUGCCCAGCUGAAGUCCUUUGAUUGCAAUUCUGUCGAUUCAAGUUUCAAGACUUUUACAU